AGAACUUGAAGCUCUGGCCUGGACACCCUCCAGGGAGCUUUGCACAAGGGUGAGAAAGGAAAGCAGUUGUGAAACUUUGGCAGGUGAAGCAGUCAGAACCACUCUCCCGCCCUGGUGCAGUGUGCUUGACACCAAGUCUUCAGGACCUUUGCUUGUGGCUCCCUAACUGCCGAGCCCACUGCUCAUGGGAGGUUGUGGAGACAGGCACCAGAGGCACCACGGAAAGUCCUCCUCCAGGUGGCGGGAGCUGCGCUGCGAAGAUCCUGUCCAGGCUUGGCGGGAGCUCUCGCUGGCCUCAUCGGAGGGCAUCAAGCUGUCCCGCUCGAGGGGUGAGUGCUCCUCGCCACGCUCCCCUAGCAGCUGCUGGUUCUGGGGCAAGACAGAAGCUCUAAGUGAGGCCAUGCGGACCUCGCCUUGGCCUCCCUGCCACCUCUAGCAGGGUGGGGAUUUCUUCCCCCUCAACUCUCAGGCCCUGCGGACACGAAAUAGUGCAAGGAAGGAGAAGCAUACUGGAGCAUUCUCCCACUUCAGACACGGAAAACGAGCUUCUGACUCCCACAAAAUUCAGGCUCUGCCUUCAAGACAGACUAAGGAGAAGGGUUUGGAAAGUGUGUUUCUUUGGAGUCCUAAAGAAAUAGCCUUUGAUCACGCA